GCCAUAAUCCCUCUCGUCCAUCCCUACUAGUCUUGCAACCUCCUCCUCCUUCUCCUCCUUCUCAUCUCUAUUCUCUUCUGUCUAUAACCUUCUCCUCCAUCGCUACUAUUAAACCCUCCUCCUCCUUCUCCUCCUUUACGUCUGAUCACACUUUUCACCACUAUUCUCCUCACCAUUAACACACUAUUCCUAUAUUCCCAUACAUCUCCUUGCUACUACUUCCUCCUCUUCCUCCUCCUCUUCCUUAUUCUUAUCACAACCAAAUUAUGUCUUACUCCUAUGCCUCUCCUCUGCUCUUCCACCACACUAUCCUUUCUCUUCGUCUUCUUCCUUUGCCUCUCUACCACACUCUUCUUACUCCUUCGUCUCUCCCUCUUCUUCUUCCUCCAUCUGCGUCCAUCACCACACUGUUUCCCGCUCACCAUUACUCUUUCCCUGCACCGCGCCGCCUGUCCCUCAUCAAUAAGGCCUUUCCACUGCUUCUCCGUCACCAUGAUCGCCAUUCCACUGUCUUAUCCACUCUCGAUGACGACCUUUUAACUUUUGCCCCACAUUUGUCACGCUCACUACCCCCCCUCCACCCCACCCCACCACCACCAACUCCACCCACCACCACCACUACUACGCUCCGUCACAGCAUAUACCAGAGAAAGAAAGUUAAAAGAAAAAGAACAACAUGAAGGUUACGAAGACAAAGCAAGAACAGGAAGGAAAGAAAAAAGAAAGAUAACACAUGAUACGUUUAGCUGUUUCAUCACCGCUAGAAACCACAACAGGAAAACAAAGAAAACAUGUCAAGAGUCACCUUCACCACCAUGACGCGAACCACCACAACUUCUAACACCAUCAUCACCAUCAUCAUCAUCAUCAGAAAUAGAAGAGAAGGAAGAUGAAGAAUAUGAAGAAGCAAUAGAAGAAGAAAAUGAUGAAGAAGAAGAAACAGAAGAAGAAAAGAAGAAAAAGAAGAAGAAAAGGAUGAAGAAGAAGAAACAGAAGAGAAAAAGAGGAGGAGGAGGAGGAGAAAAAAGAAGAAGAAGAAGAAGAAAUAGAAAAGGAAAAGAAGAGAGAAGAAGAAGAAAAUGAUGGAGAAAAGAAAGAACAACCACAGCAGCAAACACAUGAACAACAACAACAACAACACACUUUCUCCAGUAUGACCAAAUAAAUAGAAAAAAAGAUGAAGAAAAAAGAACAAUAACAACAGACGAACAACAACAACAGCAACAAAAAAGAAUAACAACAGCAACAACAACAACAACAACAACAACAACAACAACAACAACAACACUAACACAACCACCGUCACCACCAUCACAAUACGAUCUUGAAGCGUGGGAGUGGCAUCAGAAGAAGAAGAAGAAGAAGAAGAGGAAGAAGAAGAAUAAGAAGAGGGAGAAGAAGAGGAAGAAGGGGAAGAAAAAGAAGAAGAAGAAGAAGAAGAAGAAGAAGAAGAAGAAGAAGAAAAAAGAGGUGGUGGAAGACAACAACAUCAACAACAACAAGAACAACGACAAGAGGAAGAAGAAAAGAAAAGAAGAAGAGGAAGGAGGAGGAGAAACUUCAAUAAACACACACCAUAAUGAAGGGGCGAUGCUCUUUUUUUCUCCCUCUCCAUCUUGUUUGUGGAGGCUAAGGUUUCAGGACGGAAGACCACGCAAAAAAGAUAACAGAUGAAGAGAAGAAGAGAUAGAAUAAACAGAAGACUAAUGGUACAUGUCUUGAUUUUUUCUUACCCAGUUCCAAGGAUUCAGUAAUGUUAGAAAAUGCCCAACAAGAUGAUACUAUGGAAUUACUGUUGGGGUUUAUAGUAACUGUUUCCGAUCUCUUCCUAUACCUACAAUUACUGAUACAACCACCACCGACACCUCUCCUCCUCCUCCUUCUAUAAGUACCACUACUACUACUACUACUACUACUACAGGACUCACAACCAUUCACACCAUUCAGCUGGAAGGUUUGUGUGGUUUAUAACAAAUGCUGGUGAUUUCCUUUUUUUAUUUUAUUUCAAAAAUUAAGUUUUACAUCUUCAUGGUCUUAAACAGAUAGAGUAAAGUCACAGAGGAUAUGGGUAGAGUUACGUGGUGUGUAGCGUUACAAUUUUUAGGAAUACCGAAAGGUGUGAGAUACAUAAGCUUUGUUUGCUUGACGUGUUGGUGUGCGUGUUUGUAAGUUGUGAGAAGAUAUUCUAAAGUGUUUGUUCCUCUACUAUCGCCUGCAUACACACAAGCAUAUGUACAUAUACCAACUUCUAAUUAAAGCCACAUUACAAUGCAAAUCAACAAGUUUUAUUAUAAGUUUGCUACUACGUGUUAGACCAGCCAGACCAGCUGUACAAAAAGGUGAAAGGAGACCCACGUUCGGAUCAGCUCGGCGGACGCACGUAGCUGGCCGGGGCUGGGAAACCUCCCUCAAAACUCCCUAUGACUUUAACAGUCCCAAAUGUGGAAAACCCCUACAAACCCCUACGUUCAGUCCAAGGUUAGUUAGUAUCUAAACACUGGUCAACUCGAGGAGGACAAGGUUACCUGCGUGAUAUGUAACAAGGCAGGGGUGGCGGUCGCUAGCGGCGCCACCUCCCGCACGGGGCUGUGGGAUCGUCUCUUUGUACUCGCUCUGAUGUUGCCUGCGUGUGUGAAGGGAAAACAACGAAGCUGAAACAACCAGAUCUUCUUACAAGAGUAGUCAGGAUUCCUCCAGACAUGCAUAACCUAACACCAAAGUUUUAUAGUAAAGUUUCACGCGAUCAUGAAGAUAGAAGUGUUCUUACAUACUAGAUUCUUACAAUAUAUUAGAUACUGAGUAUUUUUUAACGAGUCGGUGCAAAACAUUGUCUUAACACAUAACAUGUACACAAACCAACAGACUGGCAAUACAUACCUUCACUACAUAAUUCACA